rnacentral:rRNA from 1 species
GACGAACGCUGGCGGCGUGCCUAAUACAUGCAAGUCGAGCGGAGUUAUUCCUUCGGGGAUAACUUAGCGGCGGACGGGUGAGUAACACGUAGGUAACCUGCCUAUAAGACUGGGAUAACAUUCGGAAACGAAUGCUAAUACCGGAUACGCGAUUUGGCCGCAUGGCCGAAUCGGGAAAGACUGAGCAAUCUGUCGAUUAUAGAUGGACCUGCGGCGCAUUAGCUAGUUUGUGAGGUAACGGCGCACCAAGGCGACGAGGCGUAGCCGACCUGGUAGGGUGAUCGGCCACACUGGGACUGAGACACGGCCCAGACUCCUACGGGAGGCAGCAGUAUGGGAUCUUCCGCAAUGGGCGAAAGCCUGACGGAGCAACGCCGCGUGAGUGAUGAAGGUUUUCGGAUCGUAAAGCUCUGUUGCCAGGGAAGAACGCUUGGGAGAGUAACUGCUCCCAAGGUGACGGUACCUGAGAAGAAAGCCCCGGCUAACUACGUGCCAGCCGCCGCCGUAACAC